AUCUCUCUUGCUCAGAAUUGCACUCCUUUUGAGCUAUCAUCAGUUGUUGGAAGGGGUUACAGCCUUUGUGAUUUUGUUGGAUGCUGACAGUGGUUCCCCAGUCCCUCUGAGGAGUUGUAUCUAUCUGGGUGGAGCUUCAGAGGAUGACUUCUAAUGAAAUUACAUAACAUCUUUCUAAGAGUACAUCUUACAACACAAUACCAUUCAGUCAAGGAAUUCUUCAGUAGCUUAAACUGAAAAGCUCAAUGAAGGAAGACUGCCUUCUUCAAAAUAUUCCUGGUGAGCAGGCUGUAUCCUCAAGAAAUACAAAUCAGCAUGGUGCUGCAGCACUCUGCAAGGCCACGUUCCAGCUGAAAAUUUGUCUUGCAGUCUUCAAGUGCAGUUCAUGUGCAUAAACUUGGCAGAUAAAAACUUCUCAGAGUGUAUUUUUGCUGCUUAUUAACCAAUUCAGAAGAAGCAGUAAACAUAAAAGUUCCUCUAUCAUCAGACCAUCAAAGACCUUGAGCACUAGAAGGCAUGAACUUCAGCCUGAAGGCUGGUCCCUGAGAGGUUGCUUAUAGUAUGUUAAUGUAGUUGCUAUGUCCUUUUCUUUGCAGGGGAGCAUUGGCACUUUGAUGGUAGAAGAUAAAGGGUGGUGUUGGUGUUUUAGAAUUUAGGUUAAUGUUUUGUCACUCAUCAUUUUAUGCAGUGAACCUAAUAUACAUGCAGUAUACCCAGCUGUCCAUCAGGGUCCUGCAAGUGAUGCUUCUGACAGCUGGGAUUUUUGUGUCACCCACCAGGUGGGUGUACUUGCAUGUUGUACUUCAGAGCCACUUGGCAAACGGGACUGAAAAAAUUAGUUAGGCUCUUAUUGGAAGGUAGAGGUAAGGACCUUGUUUUGUGACUAACCUCUUGUGAACAUUCAGGGACAGCGUAAGGUGCUAACUCCUCAAGCAGUUUGAGAACUUGUUUAAGCCAGUUCUGAACUCCAUUGCAGCUAUAUUGCUGCAGUGGCUUCAUUCAUCAUGAAACUAGUCUUUACCCAAGACUUUCUCUGGAAAUUUGACUUCUGGAAAAGUGAGAAAACAAAGGUAUUUGUGAUAAAGCACUUCUUCAGGGAAGAUGCAUGGUUCACAAGAUUGUCUUCACAGGAUCACAGAACGACAGAAUAGCUGAGGUAGGAAAGGACCUCUGGGUCCAUCUGGCCCAAUCUCUACUCAGGCACGGGCACUCAGAGCAGAGCUCCCAGGCCCAUAUCCAGGCAGCUCUGAAGAUCUCCAAGGAAGAGAUGUCACAGCCUCCCUGCGAAGCCUGUGCUUUUUUCAUCUUUUCUUCCUGACAUCAAGAAUCAAGUUCUUUCCUCUUCAGCAACACCAUGAAAGAGUUAAUUCUUUCCUGAAGAAAAGGGAAAAAAAAUCAAAGAGGUUUUACAUCUAGGAUAGGCAGAGGAUUGUACCAGGGCUGUGCCUAUUCAAAGAUCUAAGUGGAAAGAAGCUUUCUGAAGGCUAAGACUAAAGAGACUACUUUGAGGGACAAAUAUUAUUCCAUAGAUGUAUUCACUUCUUUCAUUGGAUUUUGCACAAAUAUCUAGCUUAUUUUCUUAUUCUGUUAAUGAUACUAUAAAUAUAUCUAUUAUUUUCUAUAGAAAAGAUGACAUUUGAAUUGACUGCUUUAAAUGUCACUAGUUAACUAAAUUUUCAGGUACUGUUGAGACUUCUCAGCUUAUGAGUGUAGUUUUUAAGACUGCUUCUGCAGUUAAUGGUGACAGAAAAUGAGUUUCCCUUUUGAGAGGAUAUAAAGCAACAGUAAAAUGUAACUGCUCCUGGAAAAGUCCAGGCUGUGCUGUAAUGUUUUCUGAUUCUCCUGUGGUUCUUCCAAAGGAGACAGGCAACUCUGUGUUUGAAUAAACUAUCUAAGGAAAUAUGGAAAAGAAAUUAUUUUUAUCCAGUGUUUACAGGAUGAACCUCUAAGAGGGAGAAGUGCAUUGAGAGAUGGUUACCGAAUGAAUACUUGCCCUCUAAGUUCUUAGGAAUAAAGAAUCCUAAUUAGUUGCAAUUCAACUUUUCUUUUGGGAACAAUCUUUAAUAGCUACUGUAGAAAAGUUUAAAAAAUAGAUAGAAGCUUAUCUUCUAUUUUACUACACCCCACUGAAAACUGAAAAGUUCAAGAAAAGAGUAGAAAAUGUGCACUAUGAGAUGCUAUAUGGAGCCGAUCUGUGCAAGAGUCUGGCUUAAGCAGCCUGAGUUCCUGCAAGUCCUGUCUUUGUUCACCAGAAAAAGAAAUGGUGCAGUGUAACUUGCUGCCUCAUGGUUGGUAGACGUAUGCUACCUAGGCUGCUCUCUUGUGCCAGAGUGAAGGUUGUCCAUCUGAGUUGGAUGUUGGCCCAUAAUAACCUAUAUUAUAAUAGCAGAAGCUUUCCAUAGUGGUUUAAUCCUCACCACAGUUGAGCUGUGUUGUACAUUCCAGACGUAUUUAUCUAGGUGGAGUGGCAGAAUAUCCUGUGAUACACAAAUGUAGUAUUAUUACAGCAAAUGCAAUGGCAGCAGCGUUAGUAAUAAUUAUACUAUAACCCAGUAUAAGAGAGCAUCCACAACAGGCCCAAUAUUACACAUUUAGCAUAAAAUGACCAUAACCUGUAGAAGAGUUCCUCUUCUUUAUGUGCAUAUAUGAAGAGUUAUGCAGCAGGAUCUUACAAAUUCCAAAAAUUUUGAGAAUUGAAAUCAUUUGACUUGAUGAAAUUUAAUCACAGGCAAUGAGUGGAUUCCUGUUACUACCCUCUCCUGCAAUAACACGUGAUAUACUUCAGCACCCCUGUAAGCAAGGAGAACAUUGUUAAAUGUAAGAACUAUCAUGAACCACAGUUGUCAUUUGUCAUAGUGUGAAAUCCAAAUGUGAAACGAACAAGGCAAAUAAUCUGAAGUGUGAGACUUGUUCUGAAGAAAACAAAUGAUACUUUUAGCAGUGUUAUUGUUCAGAGGCACGUACCAUUAGAAUACCUCCUUUCGUGACAAAAUGGCACGCUCUGUAUCAUAUUGGAUCAGCUAUGAUUUUAAAUGACACCUGAAAGCCAACUGCCAAGCACCUGAAUGAUAGGUUUGAUUCACGCCUAAUGAUCUGAACUUCUCGCUGUUGGAUCUGGGACAAGCACAAAUUAGAAACGCUGAACUUGUCAGGUUUCUUCCAGGCCCAACCCAAGCAGCAUCAGCUGCACCAGAACUGAAGAGCCAGCAAGAUUUUCACCACGUGGGGGGCAGAAACUGGAUUUACUUGAACUCUGAAAUAUAAGUGAAUAUGACUGGAUUCUGCACGGCUUUCCCUGCCUUCCACGUUUCAACAU
ensembl:lncRNA